AGGACGAACGCUGGCGGCGUGCUUAACACAUGCAAGUCGAGCGGAAAGGCCCUUCGGGGUACUCGAGCGGCGAACGGGUGAGUAACACGUGAGUAAUCUGCCCCUAGCUCUGGGAUAGCUCCGGGAAACCGGGAUUAAUACCGGAUACGACCACUUUAGACAUCUGUUGUGGUGGAAAGAAUUUUGGCUAGGGAUGAGCUCGCGGCCUAUCAGCUUGUUGGUGGGGUAAUGGCCUACCAAGGCGACGACGGGUAGCCGGCCUGAGAGGGCGACCGGCCACACCUGGGACUGAAACACGGUCCAGACUCCUACGGGAGGCAGCAGUGGGGAAUUUUGCGCAAUGGGGGAAACCCUGACGCAGCAACGCCGCGUGGAGGAUGAAGCCCCUUGGGGCGUAAACUCCGUUUCGAUCGGGAAGAUAAUGACGGUACCGAGAGAAGAAGCCCGGCUAACUUCGUGCCAGCAGCCGC
rnacentral:rRNA from 1 species